rnacentral:rRNA from 1 species
AACGAACGCUGGCGGCAUGCCUAACACAUGCAAGUCGAACGAGACCUUCGGGUCUAGUGGCGCACGGGUGCGUAACGCGUGGGAACCUGCCUUUAGGUUCGGAAUAACUCAGAGAAAUUUGAGCUAAUACCGGAUGAUGUCUUCGGACCAAAGAUUUAUCGCCUUUAGAUGGGCCCGCGUUGGAUUAGCUAGUUGGUGGGGUAAAGGCCUACCAAGGCGACUAUCCAUAGCUGGUCUGAGAGGAUGAUCAGCCACACUGGGACUGAGACACGGCCCAGACUCCUACGGGAGGCAGCAGUGGGGAAUAUUGGACAAUGGGCGAAAGACUGAUCCAGCAAUGCCGCGUGAGUGAUGAAGGCCUGAGGGUUGUAAAGCUCUUUUACCCGAGAUGAUAAUGACAGUAUCGGGAGAAUAAGCUCCGGCUAACUCCGUG